rnacentral:lncRNA from 1 species
UUCUAAGGGGAUUUCUUGAGUUGUAAAGUUUUUUUUUCUAAUUUUCUAAAUCAAGUUUUAAUGGGAUUGAAACUUAGGAAUAGAUUUGAUCCAAACCUUUGAAUUAGAUUGGGAGCCUUGGAUAAGGCUUGUAAAAAUUUUAAUGGUUGAUCUGAUAAAAUCAAUUGGGUUGUUUGUGAUCUCGAUUAAAAUCAACCAACUAUAUUCAUUGGAAUAUAGUGAAAUUUUUAAAUAAAGCUUAGGGGGUGGAUGUAGGUGCUAGGAGUGCACUGAACCAUUAUAAUUUUUACUGUAUUUGUGUGUAUGGCUUCCUUUUUAUUACCUGCAUUAUAUUUAGCUUGCAAUACACUUACUUCAUUCAAUUAAGUUUUGUAAAUGUUGCACAUAUUUGUUUAGAUUUUUGAAAAUCCAAUUCACUCUCCACCUCUUGGGCUAUCUAGCUAGGCAACAAUCCACCGCUAUGGCAGGCUAGGUUGGACAUGCCGCUAGGGGCUUCAUGUUCCACUAACUCUGUUGGGAUGGCUGGUGGUGGGAAGCGGUGGAGAUGUUUUGCAUCCAUAUUCUCACCAUUAGUUCUUCCAUCAUUUUCUAAAAAUGGGCAACAAACCCUUUCUCUACUACCAAUCUAUUGUCGUAAAUCUCUACACUAAUGUUGGUCAUCCACCAACAUCAAACUCAAAUUUGAUUUGAGGGCAUUUUCUUCUCCAAGAACAUACAAUCAAAGUCCAUACUCACCAA